GAUGAACGCUAGCGGCAGGCCUAACACAUGCAAGUCGAGGGGGAGGUUACUUUCGGGUAACUGAGACCGGCGUACGGGUGCGUAACGCGUAUACAAUCUGCCUUUCACUGGGGGAUAGCCCGAAGAAAUUUGGAUUAAUACCCCAUAGUAUAGUAAUACGGCAUCGUGAUGCUCUUAAAGCUUAGGUGGUGAAAGAUGAGUAUGCGUUCUAUUAGCUAGUUGGAGAGGUAACGGCUCCCCAAGGCGAUGAUAGAUAGGGGUUCUGAGAGGGAUGUCCCCCACAACGGUACUGAGAUACGGACCAGACUCCUACGGGAGGCAGCAGUGAGGAAUAUUGGACAAUGGUCGGAAGACUGAUCCAGCCAUGCCGCGUGCAGGAGGAAGGGCUUAUGGAUUGUAAACUGCUUUUGUAAGGGAAGAAUAAGGGCUACGCGUAGUUUGAUGACGGUACCUUACGAAUAAGCAUCGGCUAACUCCGUG
rnacentral:rRNA from 1 species